rnacentral:rRNA from 1 species
GACGGAGGGGGCAAGCGUUGUCCGGAUUUAUUGGGCGUAAAGAGCGUGUAGGCGGCCAGGUAGGUCUGCUGUGAAAACUCGAGGCUUAACCUCGAGCUGUCGGCGGAAACCAUCUGGCUAGAGUCCGGAAGAGGAGAAUGGAAUUCCCGGUGUAGCGGUGAAAUGCGCAGAUAUCGGGAAGAACACCCGUGGCGAAGGCGGUUCUCUGGGACGGUACUGACGCUGAGACGCGAAAGCGUGGGGAGCGAACAGG